rnacentral:rRNA from 1 species
CCUACGGGAGGCUGCAGUGAGGAAUAUUGGUCAAUGGACGAAAGUCUGAACCAGCCAAGUAGCGUGAAGGAUGACUGCCCUAUGGGUUGUAAACUUCUUUUAUAUGGGAAUAAAGUGUUCUACGUGUGGGGUUUUGUAUGUACCAUAUGAAUAGGGAUCGGCUAAAUCCGUGCCAGCAGCCGCGGUAAUACGGAGGGUCCGGGCGUUAUCCGUAUUUAUUGGGUUUAAAGGGAGCGUAGGUGGAUUGUUAAGCCAGUUGUGAAAGGUUGGGGCUCAACCGUAAAAUUGCAGUUGAAACUGGCAGUCUUGAGUACAGUAGAGGCGGGCGGAAUUCGUGGUGUAGCGGUGAAAUGCUUAGAUAUCACGAAGAACUCCGAUUGCGAAGGCAGCUUACUGGAGUGCAACUGACACUGAGGCUCGAAAGUGUGGGUAUCAAACAGGAUUAGAUACCCGAGUAGUC